UUUCAAGUCUUUAAGAGCAAACGGUGGAUGCCUUGGCAUCUGGAGCCGAAGAAGGACGUAGCAAUCUGCGAUAAGCCUCGGGGAGUGGAUAAGCACACUUUGAUCCGAGGAUCUCCGAAUGGGGAAACCCCGCUGGGCGGACAUCUCAGUACCCACAGGAAGAGAAAACAACCGUGAUUCCGUUAGUAGUGGCGAGCGAAACCGGAAAAGGCUAAACCGAGCGUGUGUGAUAGCCGGCAGGCGUUGCACGUUCGGGGUUGCGGGACUUUUCAUGCAGUUCUGCCGAAUUGCGAGCGUGACAAGAAGGUAUAGACGAAUGGCAUUGAAAGGCCAGUCAUAGAGGGUGCCAACCCCGUAGUCGAAAUGCCUCACUUGGCGCGAGAAGUAUCCCAAGUAGCACGGGGCCCGAGAAAUCCCGUGUGAAUCUGUCAGGACCACCUGAUAAGCCUAAAUACUCCCAGAUGACCGAUAGCGGACAAGUACCGUGAGGGAAAGGUGAAAAGUACCCCGGGAGGGGAGUGAAAUAGUACCU
rnacentral:rRNA from 1 species